rnacentral:rRNA from 1 species
GAUAAACGCUGGCGGCGUGCCUAAUACAUGCAAGUCGAGCGAACAGACGAGGAGCUUGCUCCUCUGACGUUAGCGGCGGACGGGUGAGUAACACGUGGAUAACCUACCUAUAAGACUGGGAUAACUUCGGGAAACCGGAGCUAAUACCGGAUAAUAUAUUGAACCGCAUGGUUCAAUAGUGAAAGACGGUUUUGCUGUCACUUAUAGAUGGAUCCGCGCCGCAUUAGCUAGUUGGUAAGGUAACGGCUUACCAAGGCGACGAUGCGUAGCCGACCUGAGAGGGUGAUCGGCCACACUGGAACUGAGACACGGUCCAGACUCCUACGGGAGGCAGCAGUAGGGAAUCUUCCGCAAUGGGCGAAAGCCUGACGGAGCAACGCCGCGUGAGUGAUGAAGGUCUUCGGAUCGUAAAACUCUGUUAUUAGGGAAGAACAAAUGUGUAAGUAACUAUGCACGUCUUGACGGUACCUAAUCAGAAAGCCACGGCUAACUACGUG